AUUGAACGCUGGCGGCAGGCCUAACACAUGCAAGUCGAGCGGAUGAAGGGAGCUUGCUCCUGGAUUCAGCGGCGGACGGGUGAGUAAUGCCUAGGAAUCUGCCUGGUAGUGGGGGAUAACGUCCGGAAACGGGCGCUAAUACCGCAUACGUCCUGAGGGGGAAAGUGGGGGAUCUUCGGACCUCACGCUAUCAGAUGAGCCUAGGUCGGAUUAGCUAGUUGGUGGGGUAAAGGCCUACCAAGGCGACGAUCCGUAACUGGUCUGAGAGGAUGAUCAGUCACACUGGAACUGAGACACGGUCCAGACUCCUACGGGAGGCAACAGUGGGGAAUAGUGGACAAUGGGCGAAAGCCUGAUCCAGCCAUGCCGCGUGUGUGAAGAAGGUCUUCGGAUUGUAAAGCACUUUAAGUUGGGAGGAAGGGCAGUAAGUUAAUACCUUGCUGUUUUGACGUUACCAACAGAAUAAGCACCGGCUAACUUCGUG
rnacentral:rRNA from 1 species